rnacentral:tRNA from 1 species
GGCGCUGUGGCCCAAGUGGUAGAGCGCUUGCCUAGCAUGCAUGAGGCCCUGGGUUCGAUUCCUCAGUACCC